GAUGAACGCUGGCGGCGUGCCUAAUACAUGCAAGUCGAGCGAACAGACGAGGAGCUUGCUCCUCUGACGUUAGCGGCGGACGGGUGAGUAACACGUGGAUAACCUACCUAUAAGACUGGGAUAACUUCGGGAAACCGGAGCUAAUACCGGAUAAUAUAUUGAACCGCAUGGUUCAAUAGUGAAAGACGGUUUUGCUGUCACUUAUAGAUGGAUCCGCGCCGCAUUAGCUAGUUGGUGAGGUAACGGCUUACCAAGGCGACGAUGCGUAGCCGACCUGAGAGGGUGAUCGGCCACACUGGAACUGAGACACGGUCCAGACUCCUACGGGAGGCAGCAGUAGGGAAUCUUCCGCAAUGGGCGAAAGCCUGACGGAGCAACGCCGCGUGAGUGAUGAAGGUCUUCGGAUCGUAAAACUCUGUAAUUAGGGAAGAACAAAUGUGUAAGUAACUAUGCACGUCUUGACGGUACCUAAUCAGAAAGCCACGGCUAACUACGUG
rnacentral:rRNA from 1 species